rnacentral:rRNA from 1 species
AACGAACGUUGGCGGCGUGGAUUAGGCAUGCAAGUCGGGGGAAUCCCAGCAAUGGGGGAACCGGCGUAAGGGGCAGUAAGGCGUGGGUACCUACCCUGGGGUUCGGGAUAGCCGUCUGAGAAGGCGGGUAAUUCCGGAUGACCUCGGGAGAGCAAAGAUUCAUCGCCCUGGGAGGGGCCCACGUGAUAUUAGCUAGUUGGUGAGGUAACGGCUCACCAAGGCGAAGAUGUCUAGCGGGUGUGAGAGCACGACCCGCGCCACUGGCACUGAGACACUGGACAUACACCUACGGGUGGCUGCAGUCGAGGAUCUUCGGCAAUGGGCGAAAGCCUGACCGAGCGACGCCGCGUGUGCGACGAAGGCCUUCGGGUUGUAAAGCACUGUCGAGGGGGAGAAAAGCCCGCAAGGGUGUGAUCUAUCCCUGGAGGAAGCUCGGGCUAAGUUCGUGCCAGCCGCCGCCGUAAUAC